rnacentral:rRNA from 1 species
UACGUAGGGGGCUAGCGUUGUCCGGAAUCAUUGGGCGUAAAGAGCGUGUAGGCGGUCCGGUAAGUCCGCUGUGAAAGUCGGGGGCUCAACCCUCGAAUGCCGGUGGAUACUGUCGGGCUAGAGUGCGGAAGAGGCGAGUGGAAUUCCUGGUGUAGCGGUGAAAUGCGCAGAUAUCAGGAGGAACACCUAUUGCGAAGGCAGCUCGCUGGGACGUUACUGACGCUGAGACGCGAAAGCCAGGGGAGCGAACGGG